CCUACGGGAGGCAGCAGUGGGGAAUAUUGCACAAUGGGGGGAACCCUGAUGCAGCGACGCCGCGUGAGUGAAGAAGUAUUUCGGUAUGUAAAGCUCUAUCAGCAGGAACGAGACAAGACGGUACCUGACUAAGAAGCCCCGGCUAACUACGUGCCAGCAGCCGCGGUAAUACGUAGGGGGCAAGCGUUAUCCGGAAUCACUGGGUGUAAAGGGAGCGUAGACGGCUGAGCAAGCCUGAAGUGAAAGGCGGGGGCCCAACCCCCGGACUGCUUUGGGAACUGUACGGCUGGAGGGCAGGAGAGGUAAGUGGAAUUCCUAGUGUAGCGGUGAAAUGCGUAGAUAUUAGGAGGAACACCAGUGGCGAAGGCGGCUUACUGGACUGUAACUGACGUUGAGGCUCGAAAGCGUGGGGAGCAAACAGGAUUAGAUACCCUUGUAGUC
rnacentral:rRNA from 1 species